ensembl:lncRNA
UCGCUUCUGCCGAGGCAAGGGCGCCUGUCGCUUCUGCCGAGGCAAGGGCGCCUGUCGCUUCUGCCGAGGCAAGGGCGCCUGUCGCUUCUGCCGAGGCAUUUGAACCAGAUUCCGCACUUGAGGUACCGUGGCCGGUUGCUUCCGCUGCAGAGGCAAAGUGGCCGGUUGCUUCACCGAAGGUAUUUAGGCCAGUCGUGGCGCUUGAUGAAGCACUGUGGCAAAUUGCUUCACCUAAGGUAUUUGGGCCAGCUGCCACACUUGUCGAGGCAUUAUGGGUGGCCGCUUGCGUGGCACUGUGGCCAGUUGCUUCCUCUGCAGAGGCACUGUGGCCAGUUACUUCACCUGAGGCACUUGGGCCAGUCGUGGCGCUUGAUGAAGCAUUGUGGCCAGUUGCUUCAGCUAAGGUAUUUGGGCCAGCUACCACACUUGUCGAGGCAUUAUGGGUGGCCGCUUGCGUGGCACUGUGGCCAGUUGCUUCCUCUGCAGAGGCACUGUGGCCAGUUGCUUCACCUGAGGCACUUGGGCCAGUCGUGGCGCUUGAUGAAGCAUUGUGGCCAGUUGCUUCAGCUAAGGUAUUUGGGCCAGUCGUGAUGCUUGCUGAGGCAUUGUGGUUGGCCGCUUCUGAGGCAUUAUGAGUGGCCGUUUGCAUGGCACUGUGUCCAGUUGCUUCCGCUGCCGAGGCACCGUGGCCAGUUGCUUCACCUAAGGUAUUUGGGCCAGUUGCCAUUCUUGCCGAGGCAUUAUGGGUGAUGGCUUGCGCGGCCCUGUGGCCAGCUGCUUCACCUAAGGCAUUUGGGACAGUCGUGGCGCUUGAUGAAGCAUUGUGGCCAGUUGCUUCAGCUAAGGUAUUUGGGCCAGUCGUGACGCUUACAGAGGCGUUAUGGGUGGCUGCUUCACCUGCUGAGGCACGGGAGCCGGUAGCUUCACCUGUCGAGGCACGGGAGCCAGUAGCUUCCGCUGCAUUGUGGCCAGUUCCUUUUACUUGAUUUUGGGGAAUAUAUCUAUAAUUACCUACAAAAGAAAAUAAUACGUUUCAAAUUGUAAAAUGCCAGCAUUUGAAGCCAUUUAAUUUCACUGAAUUAAAUGUGCAGAACAAAACACACCUUUAGGUGGAGGAUAACAGGUUAUCCCUCCAAUUAGCAGGCAACAAAUCCAAGAAAUUCUAAAUAAAAAUAAAAACAUCCUAGUCAGUUAAAUACAGCUACCUGUAAAACAUGGAAGACAAGGGAAUCAAAC